AGAAAUAGAAACAGAAUCUCCCUGACCCCUGCAGCUGUGUAGGAGGUGGGCUCUGAAUUGUGAGGUGAGAUCGGUACCCUGCAUUUUUGGGCCAUUUGGGAUGCGAAUUUUCAAAGCUGGGAAAUGUUAUUCUGCAGGCUUCAGAAGAGAAGCAGGACCUGAAAGCUAGGAGUCAGUGCCUGAAAUGUUCCCAUGGAGUGUGAACAGACCAUCAAAUCCAAAUCCCCGAUUUUACAGAUGAGACAACUGGGUCACAGCAAGAAGUCUCUGGCUGGAGGGCUAGUGGUUACAAUGUCUCAUCCAGCACUUGCUUCUCACUGCAGGUUGGGGAAUAUCGGUGAAAGGCCAGGGAACUUGCAAGCAGCCAUCCUCUCAUUCCAAGAUAGAGAAUUAAAAUGUGCCUGGAGGAGGUUGGGACCCAACCCAGAGCACUGGCUCCCUGGGCCUGAAGGAAGCCAUGCCGUGGAGGACUGCAGCUUAUUCUUAUUGUUCUAGAUGGGUUCUAAGAGUCCACAGCUUUUCAGAGUAAAGCAAGAUAAACACAUAAGUGACACCUAGAGGACAGAAAGUUAAAAACCAUCCAG